rnacentral:rRNA from 1 species
CAGCAGCCGCGGAAUACAGAGGGUGCGAGCGUUAAUCGGAUUUACUGGGCGUAAAGCGUGCGUAGGCGGCUUUUUAAGUCGGAUGUGAAAUCCCUGAGCUUAACUUAGGAAUUGCAUUCGAUACUGGGAAGCUAGAGUAUGGGAGAGGAUGGUAGAAUUCCAGGUGUAGCGGUGAAAUGCGUAGAGAUCUGGAGGAAUACCGAUGGCGAAGGCAGCCAUCUGGCCUAAUACUGACGCUGAGGUACGAAAGCAUGGGGAGCAAACAGGAUUAGAUACCCCCGUAGUCCCUGUCUCUUAUACA